rnacentral:rRNA from 1 species
UAUGCACGUCGAGCGGAGCAAGGUUUCGGUCCGUAUCACCGACAAAGACGUGAGUAACACGUAGACAACCUGCUCUCAGAGACGGGGAUAGCCAGCGGAAAGGCUGAUUAAUACCGGAUGUGGCCGGAGGGUGACAUCCCCUUUGUGCUAAAAGAAGCAUCCGCUCUGAGAUGGGCCUGCGGCCUAUCAGCUAGUUGGAGAGGUAAACGGCUCACCAAGGCGACGACGGGUAGCUGGUCUGAGAGGAUGGUCAGCCAGACAGGGUUUGAGACUCGGGCCACAGUCCUUCGGGAGGCAGCAGUGGGGAAUAUUGCACAAAUGGGCGCAAGCCUGAUGCAGGGACGCCGCGUGGUGGAUGACGGCCUUAGGGUCGUAAACCGCUUUCAGCAGGAACGAAAUUGUCGGUGCCUGCAGAAGAAGCUCCGGCCAACUACGUACCAGCAGCCGCGGUAAUACGUAGGGAGCGAGCGUUGUCGGGAUUCAUUGGGCGUAAAGAGCUCGUAGGCGGCUCGGUAAGUCAGGUGAGAAACCUCCAGGCUCAACUUGGAGACGCCACCUGAUACUGCCGUGUCUAGAGUCCGGUAGAGGAGCGUAGAAUUCCUGGUGUAGCGGUGAAAUGCGCAGAUAUCAGGAGGAAUACCAGCGGCGAAGGCGGCUCUCUGGUCCGGUACUGACGCUGAGGAGCGAAAGCGUGGGGAGCAAACAGGAUUAGAUACCCUGGUGGUCCACCCCGUAAACAUUGGGCACUAGUUGUGGGGCCUUUUCAACGGGUUCCGUGCCGUAGGUAACGCAUUAAGUUCCCCGCCUG